AUGCUCACUUUGGCAGCACAUAUUGGAACAAUACGGAGAANAUUAGCACGGCCCCUGCGCGAGGACGAUGUGCAAAUUCUUAAAGCAUUCCAUGUCUUU
rnacentral:snRNA from 1 species